GAGUUUGAUCGUGGCUCAGGAUGAACGCUAGCGGCAGGCUUAACACAUGCAAGUCGAGGGGUAUAGGUUUUCGGACCUAGAGACCGGCGCACGGGUGCGUAACGCGUAUGCAAUCUACCUUUUACAGAGGGAUAGCCCAGAGAAAUUUGGAUUAAUACCUCAUAGUAUUAUGAUAAGGCAUCUUAUUAUAAUUAAAGUUCCAACGGUAAAAGAUGAGCAUGCGUCCCAUUAGCUAGAUGGUAAGGUAACGGCUUACCAUGGCGACGAUGGGUAGGGGUCCUGAGAGGGAGAUCCCCCACACUGGUACUGAGACACGGACCAGACUCCUACGGGAGGCAGCAGUGAGGAAUAUUGGUCAAUGGGCGCAAGCCUGAACCAGCCAUGCCGCGUGCAGGAUGACGGUCCUAUGGAUUGUAAACUGCUUUUUGACAGGAAGAAACAGUUCUACGUGUAGAACCUUGACGGUACUGUAAG
rnacentral:rRNA from 1 species